rnacentral:rRNA from 1 species
UACAGAGGUCCCAAGCGUUGUUCGGAUUCACUGGGCGUAAAGGGUGCGUAGGUGGUGAGGUAAGUUUGAUGAGAAAUCUCCGGGCUCAACCCGGAAAUGGCAUUGAAUACUAUCUCGCUUGAGAGUCGGAGGGGGGACUGGAAUACUUGGUGUAGCAGUGAAAUGCGUAGAUAUCAAGUGGAACACCAGUGGCGAAGGCGAGUCCCUGGACGACUUCUGACACUGAGGCACGAAAGCUAGGGGAGCAAACAGG